UACAGAGGUCUCAAGCGUUGUCCGGAUUUAUUGGGCGUAAAGGGCGCGUAGGCGGCGGGGUAAGUCGGGUGUGAAAUCUCAGAGCUCAACUCUGAAACUGCACUCGAUACUGCUCUGCUUGAGGACUGGAGAGGAGACUGGAAUUCACGGUGUAGCAGUGAAAUGCGUAGAUAUCGUGAGGAAGACCAGUGGCGAAGGCGGGUCUCUGGACAGUUCCUGACGCUGAGGCGCGAAGGCCAGGGGAGCAAACGGG
rnacentral:rRNA from 1 species